rnacentral:rRNA from 1 species
GACAGAGGGUGCAAACGUUGUUCGGAAUCACUGGGCGUAAAGCGCACGUAGGCGGAUGUGUCAGUCAGGGGUGAAAUCCCGGAGCUCAACUUCGGAACUGCCCUUGAUACAGCACGUCUUGAGUCCGGAAGAGGUGGGUGGAAUUCCUAGUGUAGAGGUGAAAUUCGUAGAUAUUAGGAAGAACACCGGUGGCGAAGGCGGCCCACUGGUCCGGUACUGACGCUGAGGUGCGAAAGCGUGGGGAGCAAACAGG